rnacentral:rRNA from 1 species
UACGAAGGGGGCUAGCGUUGCUCGGAAUCACUGGGCGUAAAGCGCACGUAGGCGGAUUGUUAAGUCAGGGGUGAAAUCCUGGAGCUCAACUCCAGAACUGCCUUCGAUACUGGCGAUCUUGAGUCCGGGAGAGGUGAGUGGAACUCCGAGUGUAGAGGUGAAAUUCGUAGAUAUUCGGAAGAACACCAGUGGCGAAGGCGGCCCACUGGCCCGGUACUGACGCUGAGGUGCGAAAGCGUGGGGAGCAAACAGG